AUAUUUUGGUACUGCGCCAUAGAUUGCAUUGAAGCAUUUUUAACUGCCGUGCAUGAUCGAAGUAAUAAGAUAUUAUUUUGUACUACAAUCAUAAAUCUCUUUCUCUCUCUCUCGAUGGGGAGGCUCUUGGCGUUGCAACAAAAUGACAACAGUACGAAACUGCGAAUGGAUAAGUUCUGCAAACGCUAAGAAGAAACAAUGACAGAUGAAAGACUUGUCGUUGUAAAGAGCGCUAGCCAGGUGUAUGUUUGAUUACAUAAGUGACGUACCGCAGUUAGAAAAUGAAGUGUCCGACAACACUUCCUAUUGACAAAACGUGCUGUUCUAUAGUCUCAGUGAUACACUUGCUGCAAGGAUCUACGGAACACGGAAAUAAUUUAAUAAAUAAAAUAAAUAAUGGGUCCAGUAUUCACACACACACAUAGGUGAUGGAAAGCGAUGGAGCAAACAUUAACAGAUGGAGAAUAUUACUUUCUGGUACUGCUGAUUACACUUCCUGUCAAUUUGUUUUUCUGUCUGUGGGCUUGGCUUGGAUGGGAGCUUUUUAAAAAUAAUUAGGGCUACAUUGAAAUAAAACUGCUAUCAUGCCAUUCAAA